rnacentral:pre_miRNA from 1 species
ACACACCAUCGCCUUCUCUGGUGAGAAGGCCACGGACUGCCUUCUCCGGUGAGAAGGCAGCCCAGUGGGUUGCCUUCUCCGGUGAGAAGGCAGUCCAUCGCCUUCUCACCGGAGAAGGUGACGGAUAUA